rnacentral:lncRNA from 1 species
UUUUUAUUAAUGAUUAACUGACAGAAUAAAGAGAAGAUUACUUGGAAGUAGUCAUGGUAGUUUGCACUUCACCAGCCUCUAUCACCAGCUUCUCUCUCUCUUCGUCUGAUCCUUAUCAAUAGUACCUGCCUCAUUUUGAUCAACACUCCAUAAACCUCGCCAAUAUCACAAAUGACAUUCCUUCAAGAAUAUUGUUCAAGCAUCUUAAAACCACGACCAAGGACUUAAAUACCACUGGUGAAACUCACUUGACUUGGAAAAAUUCGAUCCCUUCAAGAAUCAAGAAUCUUAUGAUCAAAAAUCGAAAUAACAUGGAACAACAUCUUGAAAAUGUACCUUUAUUGUGCCGGCAAGAAGAAAUAACGGAGAAUUAGAUCUGUAAUAGACAAAAUGCACUAAGGCAGAUUCUUCAGAUGGAAUCUAAAACCUUAGUUACUGGUAGAGUAUAAUAGACAAGUGAAUCUGUGAUAGUGAUUUUAGUUAGUACUAUAACAUUUUUGGGGACAUUUGACAUUGUGGUCCCUAAUCUUUACCCUAUAUAUCAAAUUACUCUUUAAUCGAAUUUUUUUAGCCUUCAAAACUCCAAACUACGCAUUUAAGCCAAUAAAAUGAAAUUCAUACACGUAAUGUCAAUUUUUUGGCCACAUGACAACUUAUUUGAAAGUUAUUUUUGUCAAUUCACUUCAUUUCCCUCUAUUAUACCACUACUAGAACUGACCAAGUCAACAAAAACAAAGAGACAGGACUAGUCCUACAAAAUGAGCACGUAGGCCAAACUGAAGUGAAAUCAAGUAAAAACAUAUAAUUCAAUCACAUGGAAAAAGGCACAAGCCAAGUCAGAACAAAAACGCCUGAUUAGAAUUAUUUUGAAGAUAAAUAACUACAACCUGAAAUCAACGCACUAAUUUUAUACUAUCCUAUCAGCCUUUGUCAGUCAUAGAGAAUCCUCCAGGCCUCAGCAAAUGAUCUAUGUAUUGGGCCCACAAAAAGUGGCAAUAGGGGUAAAAACACCUGCCAUAAAUUUGAGCCAAACAUUCUGUCCAACUCUAGUUUCCAUUCUUCACUUUUACUCUCCUUGCAUCAAGAAUUCUCAGUGACUUGAGCAUCAAAGUAUCAACAACCAACAAUCCCCAUCUAUGGAAGGCUGAGAAAAAAUUGUCCCUGCUUUACAGAGUCAACUACCAAAUCGCUCAUCUCCUUAAUAUAGAAACUUCACCAAAAUAUGGCAUCAACAAAAAGGCGCCAUCUAUAAAGACCAAAAAAAUACCACUUGAAAAAAUGAGCAAUAACCACCCAGAAAACAGAAAUGGAAUGACAAUUUCAUCCACAAAUUGCGCAAAAGAAUGUCAGAUUGACGACUUGCAUACCCGAGCAAAAGGAAAGGUGCCCGAAAUGAACAAGUGGAGGCAAAAUGAUGGAACCUAAAGCAAAGCAGAAUAAUUCCUCACUUAACGGGAACUCAUUGGAUGAAAGCCAACUACAUAAUAAC